UUCCCUCUAUCUCGCCUUCAUUUUUUCAUUUCAUGUUUUCGUAACCCUAGUUCUUCCUUCAAUGACUCUCUCUCUCUCUCUCUCACUUGAACGGCGACGAGCAACGAUCGGCAACAGUGGUAGCAAGCAACGAUUGGCGAUUGGUGACAGUGUCGUUGAGCAGCAAUCAAAGCCUCGAUUCGAAGUUAUUGGGCGUAGGAAAUACAACUGAAUUAUUGAAUCCAUUGGGGCUUCCUGAGGAGAGAUGAUUGCAGGAUAUGGAUCUGAGGUAAAUUUUAUAUACACUUGCUAUUUAAUUAUAUAUACAGGUUUUUGAUUUCUGGGGUUUGGUGGGUUUCUAUAUUUUAUAUACAGUUUGACUGGGAAUAAGAAUUAUUUAUUUCAAAUAUUUAUGUGUGAGGUGUUGGUUAGAACUUUUCUGGUUCUGUAAUGGAGUUGAAAAUUGGGAACUAAAUAGUUUUGAUUUAGUUUUCUGUAAUGGAGUUGAAAACAGGGGACUAAACAUCACAAAUAUAAUGAACUUUUUUGGUUCUGUAAUGAAUUGAUUCGCAUCAAUGAAUCAAUGAAUGAACUUCCAUUUUUCUCUUCUAUUUUUUUUUUUUAAAAUUUAUAGUGUUGAUUUUGUCUUAUCAAAAUGCAAUGAAAUGCGUCAUAUAUCUGUCAUGUGAUUUUGAGUUUGAACCAUUGAAAAUUUUAUUGGAUUUUGAAGCCAACAAUAUAUCUGUCAUUUGAGUAAAUAGGAUGUUUUGUUUUUUCAAUAAAUAGACCUUCUCAACCUGUGUUCUGUGACCGUGUUCUGGGUAAUCUCAACCUGUAUUCUGUGACUAUUGUUUGGAUGCACAAUGUUUGUUGUAAUAUAUUUGACAGUGCACAAUUUAAUUAUGCCCAGGUUGUGUUUUUGAGGAAGUGCACAAUUGAAUUAUAUUGGAAUUUUGUAAAUUUUAAACCGCCAAACGAAUUCGCAUCUAUCCGCCAAUUUUCUAAAUCUGCAACCUCUGGAUUGGCGGACGAAUGCGGAUUAGUUUCUCCAAUCCGCCAAUCUCACAGACGGGUGGCCGAUUGGAGGUUCCAUGUCUGCAACCGAUUCACGCCCCCCUCUACUAAGAGCUAGAAUUAGGCUCAGGUCAUCCAAAAAAUUGAACUAA